AAGGACUCCUCGUACUGGUAGAAAUUUCACCUCCAUUUAGAGAAUUUGCAUACUGCCACGUUAGCUAGACCAGCAAAAUCACUUAGUGUGAAAGCCACUUCUGAAAUGGCAAAUAAAAAUAGCUCAUUUUGAUUGGUUUGUUAUCCCGAGUACAACGGGGAUCCCAAAGGGUCCUGGAGCAUAUUAUACAAACACACAGAGCUAACUUCACAAAAUUAUGCACUGCAGGAAGAUUAUCACCUUCUCAAACGCACAUGGAAGAUGAAGAGAAGCAGAAUAUCUUGUACAGACAAAUUGGAUGUGUCAGUGAGUGCCUAGUUGACAUUUCAAUAGGAGGCUGGUGGUGUUCUUUGGGAUUAUUAUCCAGGAGUGCAGUUAUACCUUAGCUCCCAGAGGGGAACUUGUAUGGAAAUGCCGCUGUGAAUUGGAAGGGCCUUUGGAUCUCAGGAAAAGCCCUUGAAGGAGACUCUGCUGGAAACUGAAUGGAUGUCAGGAAAAUUUCUCUAGCCUGGAAUCUCUCUUCAGAUAUGGACUCUCCUCCCCCUUCAUUUCUGCUUUCCCUUCCUUCCCUCCCCCCUUCCUUCCCAACCCACAAGGCUUAAGAGCCACAACACCCAGCUCUUACUGAAUGUUUAGUUCCAAACCCCUAAAGGAAGGAAUACUGACCUGAACGAAACAGAGAACAAAGUAACCUGAAAACAGAGAAUAUUUUCACAGGCUUGAGUUUUCAGUGCAAUAAAGCCAGAGCUGCCAGAAGGAGUCCCAGAAGUGGUGAGUCAGAUAAUAAACGUACGGCUGUGGUGGGAGGGAAACGGUCUCGACUUUGUUUUAUCCCAUACCCCCCCCUUAGAAAGGCAGAUGAAAUUGUUUUCCAGUCAUAACCCUGUGAAAACAAACAUGGAGUUUAAAGGUUAUUUCCUUUGUUUUGACUCAAAAAGGGAAGGAUGACGAUUUGUCAAUGAUCUCAAAUUCUGCUCUAAAAGUUUUUCCAGGAUCGCCUGAGGUGGCAGAGCUGCUGUUUUGUUUAUUGAUAUAUUUCACUUGCUCGUGUUAAUUUAAACAAAACUUACCAAAAAAUGGCUGUUUUUUCACACCAGUUUCAAUUAGAACCUUGUCAUGGUUGGGCUCGGUUAAGGGCAGUUGGACAAACACCUCUAAGUGAGACUUGUGCAACAUGUUCCUCACUCCUUCAUUACUCCCUUCAGGGGACCCUCUUCAUCUGCACCAGGGAACUAGCUCAGAGUACUAGUCUAAGUUAAAAAUAAAUGAGGGUUAUGGGGACUAUUUCUAAUUGAAAUCAAUUCCCUGAUUCAAUUUAACAUGGGGCUGCACCAGGAAAAAAAACACUGGCACAAUGCAGGGACAGUGUGAAGGGGAAGAGGGCAGGAGUGCGUGGUGGGGAAUGCAUAAGUAGGAAUUUCUACCAAAAAAUAGGUUGUCAGACUAUGUCCUGAAAGACUUUACAUUCCUCCAUGCCAGAGCCAUCUCUUUGCUUUGAGAGCAGGUAACACCUUGCAGGACUCUCAGGACUCUCAGAGCUAUAUAAUGCCAAAAAAUAGUAACUGUUCCUACAGACUGACACAAUUAACCAAAUUCCACUCCCAGAUCUUCACUGUUGGCAACUCGUGCAGCACUUUCUGCAGCCCAAGUUGGAGCCCUCUCCUGUUCCUGAGUUCUGUCUCCAGCUCUAAUGAGCAAUAACUGAAUAACUCUGGCAUUCCGCUCACCUACCAGGAAAAGAAUUACUUUCCUCACAGAGCUUCUUAUAUUUAACUAGAUUUUUUUAAUGAGCUUUGACAUUCUCAGAUGAAAAGAACAAUGUGUACAAUGUCUAUUACAGCAAAACCUGUAUAUGACAGAUUCCUACAUGUUUUCCUGUCUUUUGUCUCACCUUUCCUGUCACCACACUCCUACACAGGCCUCAAGACAUGCUGCAAAUGUUUGAGUAAUGCCAACUUCAAACCCCAGAAUUCCCAUUAACAUCCUCACUCUUCACUGAGCAAUGUUGUGUUUAUUUUAAUCUGAUGCUUUUUGGAUAGAGACAGAGGUUACUCCCCCUGAGAGUUCAAAUAUCAAUAGUGCUCUGCAUCACAAGGGAAGUUUUUAAUGAUUCCCACAAAACCCGCUGCCACUUGGUAACAAGACAAUGGAUGAAAUGCACGGAGUGUAAAAUCUGUCUCUAAUGCUAUUCCUGAGGGACCAAAUCUAGAAGUGUUACUCAACUUUGCUUAGGAUUCAGCAAGAGUUUUCCUGCUGCAGGACUGAGGAGAUGAUAAAUAAGAGUUUGGAGAAUUGGCCAGAGCUAAAAUCCUGGAAAGCAAACAUUUAUAAAUUGUCUCUGUAGAAAUGUUGGCUCCCUUUUAAUUUCCCUAUGAGUGGAGAAGAGGGAGGGGAUCUUCUGUACAUCUCCUUGCAGGAGAACCCACAGAAGCACAAAGUAUAGUUUUUCCUAGUCCUCAACACUUAGUUAUCCUAAAGCUUCAAUUCAGCAUUCAUUUCAAUUUUUACUACUGUCACUUCCAUGCUUUUUUAUCUAUAUUUAUUGUGUUUCCUUAGAAAUCCUCUCUAGCUCAAGAGCUUCUGAGAGGAAAUUCAGCCUUGCUUCAGAUAGAGCAUCACUGAAGGAAACUGAGGAGUUACUUCCCCUGGGAAUUAUUUCAGGGCCUUCUACAUAAAAAUUUUGUUGGCACAAGUAUUUCAGAAUAACUCCCAGUAUAAAUCCUCCAGUAUUCCAUUUUGAAAGUGGAAUUUCUGAUGAUCAUUCUACCUAGGAAUACUUCUUGUCAGUACUCAGUUUUUCUCAUGAGAGCUUUCAUUACACAGAGCAUCUGUAGCAAAAUAAAGCCUCAGAUGGAAACACAAACCCAACCACAACAUAUACAAUUUAAUCACCAGCUGAUUUCAAAUAAACAUCUUGUUUUUCAAACAUUUUUGUGAAAUUGUAGCUGUAUUGAGCUUGGUUAAAGUCUUCUAUUGCCUCACUGCAGAAUGGACUGGCUCUAAUAACAAAAUUCACAACUGUACACCUUACAUGCAAAAUAUGAACAAAACAUUCUUAAGCACCCACAAAGCUUAUGUUUCAUGUUCAGAAGUGGCUUAGGUUUCAUGGCCUUUCAAUUUCAUUUAAGGUUUUUCAGAAUAUUUUGCCUGCCUCUUUGCCUGUGGUACCUGGGAAUGAGCACAUGACCAUUCAUCUCUUCAGGGAUUCCAAGCGGGUACUCUGGAAGAGAACUGAGGAGGAGUUAGGACAAAAGGUGUUUUAGGAAGCUGGGAACAGCACAUCACCAGCACUAAACUGAAGCAAGCAAGCAAAAAAAAGAAACUAUGUGAAAGAACACCUCUUCCUUCCCCCAAAACUGAACCCUCUGCUUUCUCUUUUCACAUGAAAACACAGGUUUGUA